rnacentral:rRNA from 1 species
UAGAGUUUGAUCCUGGCUCAGGACGAACGCUGGCGGCGUGCUUAACACAUGCAAGUCGAGCGGUAAGGCCCUUCGGGGUACACGAGCGGCGAACGGGUGAGUAACACGUGGGUGAUCUGCCUCGCACUUCGGGAUAAGCCUGGGAAACUGGGUCUAAUACCGGAUAUGACCACUGGUCGCAUGGUUGGUGGUGGAAAGAUUUAUCGGUGCGAGAUGGGCCCGCGGCCUAUCAGCUUGUUGGUGGGGUAAUGGCCUACCAAGGCGACGACGGGUAGCCGGCCUGAGAGGGCGACCGGCCACACUGGGACUGAGACACGGCCCAGACUCCUACGGGAGGCAGCAGUGGGGAAUAUUGCACAAUGGGCGAAAGCCUGAUGCAGCGACGCCGCGUGAGGGAUGACGGCCUUCGGGUUGUAAACCUCUUUCGACAGGGACGAAGCGUGAGUGACGGUACCUGUAGAAGAAGCACCGGCCAACUACGUGCCAGCAGCCGCGGUAAU